GCCGACCCACCCACCUCAAGAGAACCAUCCACUUGCAGCUAGGUGGCCAUCACGGCAGGGGUUGAGCCACCCUCAUGGAAGGGAGAGGACCCUACCGGAUCUACGACCCAGGGGGCAGCACGCCUCUGGGAGAGGAGGUGUCCGCAGCUUUUGACCGUCUAGUGGAGGAGAAUACUCGGCUGAAGGGAAAAAUACAAGGGAUAAAGAUGUUAGGAGAGCUUCUGGAGGAAUCUCAAAUGGAAGCGUCCAGACUCCGGCAG
rnacentral:lncRNA from 1 species